rnacentral:rRNA from 1 species
CAACUUUCAGCAACGGAUCUCUUGGCUCUCGCAUCGAUGAAGAACGCAGCGAACUGUGAUAAGUAAUGUGAAUUGCGGAAUUCAGUGAAUCAUCGAAUCUUUGAACGCACCUUGCGCUCCUUGGUAUUCCGAGGAGCCUGCCUGUUUGAGUGUCCUUA